CCAUGAGUAAAGUGGCGCACGGGUGAGUAACACGUGACUAACCUACCCUUGAGUGGGGGAUAACCUAGGGAAACCUGGGCUAAUACCGCAUAAUACCUAUGGGUCAAAGGAGCAAUUCGCUUUAGGAGGGGGUCGCGGCAGAUUAGUUAGUUGGCGGGGUAAUGGCCCACCAAGACGAUGAUCUGUAUCCGGCCUGAGAGGGCGCACGGACACACUGGAACUGAAACACGGUCCAG
rnacentral:rRNA from 1 species